rnacentral:rRNA from 1 species
GACGGAAGGUGCAAGCGUUGCUCGGAAUCACUGGGCGUAAAGGGUGCGUAGGCGGCCGUGCAAGUCUGGCGUGAAAUCCCUGGGCUCAACCCAGGAACUGCGUCCGAUACUGGUUGGCUUGAAUCCGGGAGAGGGACGUGGAAUUCCAGGUGUAGCGGUGAAAUGCGUAGAUAUCAGGAGGAACACCGGUGGCGAAGGCGGGUCUCUGGGCCGAUACUGACGCUGAGGAGCGAAAGCGUGGGGAGCAAACAGG